rnacentral:rRNA from 1 species
GACGAACGCUGGCGGCGUGCUUAACACAUGCAAGUCGAACGAGAAAGCCCUUCGGGGUAAGUACAGUGGCGAACGGGUGAGUAACACGUGGGCAACCUGCCCCAGAGAGCGGGACAACCCGGGGAAACCCGGGCUAAUACCGCAUGAUGCGUCUCCACUUAAGUGGAGCCGCCAAAUGGUAGCUUCGGCCUCCGCUCUGGGAUGGGCCCGCGCCGGAUUAGCUAGUUGGUUGGGGUAACGGCCCACCAAGGCGACGAUCCGUAGCUGGUCUGAGAGGACGACCAGCCACACUGGGACUGAGACACGGCCCAGACUCCUACGGGAGGCAGCAGUGGGGAAUCUUGCGCAAUGGGCGAAAGCCUGAUGCAGCAACGCCGCGUGGGGGAAGAAGGCCUUCGGGUUGUAAACCUCUUUCAGUAGGGACGAAGCUUCCGGGGUUAAUAGCCUACGGGGUGACGGUACCUACAGAAGAAGCCCCGGCUAACUACGUGCCAGCAGCCGCAGUAA